AUGAACGCUGGCGGCGUGCCUCAUCCAUGCAAGUCGAGCGAACAGACGAGGAGCUUGCUCCUCUGACGUUAGCGGCGGACGGGUGAGUAACACGUGGAUAACCUACCUAUAAGACUGGGAUAACUUCGGGAAACCGGAGCUAAUACCGGAUAAUAUAUUGAACCGCAUGGUUCAAUAGUGAAAGACGGUUUUGCUGUCACUUAUAGAUGGAUCCGCGCCGCAUUAGCUAGUUGGUAAGGUAACGGCUUACCAAGGCAACGAUGCGUAGCCGACCUGAGAGGGUGAUCGGCCACACUGGACCUGAGACACGGUCCAGACUCCUACGGGAGGCAGCAGUAGGGAAUCUUCCGCAAUGGGCGAAAGCCUGACGGAGCAACGCCGCGUGAGUGAUGAAGGUCUUCGGAUCGUAAAACUCUGUUAUAGGGAAGAACAAAUGUGUAAGUAACUAUGCACGUCUUGACGGUACCUAAUCAGAAAGCCACGGCUAACUACGUG
rnacentral:rRNA from 1 species